rnacentral:rRNA from 1 species
GUCUAAGUAUAAACAAUUCUAUACUGUGAAACUGCGAAUGGCUCAUUAAAUCAGUUAUAGUUUAUUUGAUAAUAUCUACUACUCGGAUAACCGUGGUAAUUCUAGAGCUAAUACGUGCGUAAAAACCCGACUCACGAAGGGUUGUAUUUAUUAGAUACAAAACCAAUGCAGCGCAAGCUGGUUUUUUGGUGAUUCAUAAUAACUUCUCGGAUCGCAUGGCUCACGCCGGCGACGUUUCAUUCAAAUUUCUGCCCUAUCAACUUUCGAUGGUAAGGUAUUGGCUUACCAUGGUUACAACGGGUAACGGAGAAUUAGGGUUCGAUUCCGGAGAGGGAGCCUGAGAAACGGCUACCACUUCCAAGGAAGGCAGCAGGUGCGCAAAUUACCCAAUCCUGACACAGGGAGGUAGUGACAAAAAAUAACAAUACAGGACUUUUAAAGCCUUGUAAUUGGAAUGAGUACAAUUUAAACCCCUUAACGAGUAACAAUUGGAGGGCAAGUCUGGUGCCAGCAGCCGCGGUAAUUCCAGCUCCAAUAGCGUAUAUUAAAGUUGUUGCAGUUAAAAAGCUCGUAGUUGGAUUUUAGAUUAUGUUAAUCGGUCUGCCUAGUGGUAUGAACUGAUUAGCAUUUUCUUCUUCUCGAG